rnacentral:rRNA from 1 species
GACGAACGCUGGCGGCGUGCUUAACACAUGCAAGUCGAGCGGUAAGGCCCUUUCGGGGGUACACGAGCGGCGAACGGGUGAGUAACACGUGGGUGACCUGCCCUCAGCUCUGGGAUAAGCCUGGGAAACCGGGUCUAAUACUGGAUAUGACUCCAUGACGCAUGUUGUGGGGUGGAAAGCCUUGUGCGGCUGAGGAUGGGCCCGCGGCCUAUCAGCUUGUUGGUGGGGUGANGGCCUACCAAGGCGACGACGGGUAGCCGGCCUGAGAGGGCGACCGGCCACGCUGGGACUGAGACACGGCCCAGACUCCUACGGGAGGCAGCAGUGGGGAAUCUUGCGCAAUGGGCGAAAGCCUGACGCAGCGACGCCGCGUGAGGGAUGACGGCCUGGUU